GAUGAACGCUGACAGAAUGCUUAACACAUGCAAGUCAACUUGAACUUCGGUUUGGGUGGCGGACGGGUGAGUAACGCGUAAAGAACUUGCCUCACAGAUAGGGACAACAUUUGGAAACGAAUGCUAAUACCUGAUAUUAUGAUUAUAUGGCAUCGUAUAAUUAUGAAAGCUAUAUGCGCUGUGAGAGAGCUUUGCGUCCCAUUAGCUAGUUGGAGAGGUAACGGCUCACCAAGGCGAUGAUGGGUAGCCGGCCUGAGAGGGUGAUCGGCCACAAGGGGGCUGAGACACGGCCCUUACUCCUACGGGAGGCAGCAGUGGGGAAUAUUGGACAAUGGACCAAGAGUCUGAUCCAGCAAUUCUGUGUGCACGAUGAAGUUUUUCGGAAUGUAAAGUGCUUUCAGUUGGGAAGAAAAAAAUGACGGUACCAACAGAAGAAGUGACGGCUAAAUACGUG
rnacentral:rRNA from 1 species